rnacentral:rRNA from 1 species
AAUCAACGCUGGCGGCGUGCCUCAGACAUGCAAGUCGAACGCGAAAGUUCCCUUCGGGGGAUGAGUAGAGUGGUGCACGGGUGAGUAACACGUAGGUAAUCUACCUUCGGAUGGGGAAUAACAACCGGAAACGGUUGCUAAUACCGCAUAAUGCAGCGGCACCUAAUGGUGACAGUUGUUAAAGCGGGGGAUCGAAAGACCUCGCGUCUGAAGAGGAGCCUGCGGCGGAUUAGCUAGUUGGUAGGGUAACGGCCUACCAAGGCUACGAUCCGUAGCCGGCCUGAGAGGGCGGUCGGCCACACUGACACUGACAUACGGGUCAGACUCCUACGGGAGGCAGCAGUCGGGAAUUUUGGGCAAUGGGCGAAAGCCUGACCCAGCAACGCCGCGUGAAGGAUGAAAUCCCUCGGGAUGUAAACUUCGC